CAGGCUACAUUGACUGGGCUAUAGCUCCCAUGUGUCAUUUUGCAACUCUUGUCCUGAUUUUCUAGGUAUAUGUGGGACUCUUCUAAACCUUUGUAUUCUGGGAAGGAAGAUAAACUACAGAACUGGACCAGUAAGGGAGUUGCAACUCUGCCAUGAGCAGGAUGCUGCUUGUGAAAUUAUGAAGCCACUUCUACGAGUGUGAGCUCUAGAGUCUAAGUGCCAUUGGGAGUAGGACCAAACUGGAAAACUUCUUGAGACUUGUAAGAGGAAUGGGAAGCAGUCAUAUUUUUCAAAUCCUCAGAGGCUCAGAGAAAGAAUGCAAGUUCCAACAAGGAGGAUUUUGUUCCCUAAGUCCUGACGUUUUACAGCAUCUGCAAGGCUUUGGAGAUGAACAGGGGAUUCGUGAAAAAGGAGUUUGUCUUCCGGAAGACCCAAUUUUACUGGACAUAAAAAGCUUCUUGAAAGAGCUUAAAAAACACAAUACAGUCUCAGACUAAAUAAUAGAAAGGUCUCAGCCUUUAAGGAAAGUACAGAGAAGUUAGAAACUCUUGGGGAAGAAGUUUUUGACAUGGGGAAGGUAAGGAGGGAAUAUAUUUCUAAUAUCAAAUUUAGAAUACAAUUAACAACAUUUAAGUGAAUGACUGUAUAUAAGUUUUUAUGAACAUAUUCCAUAUUAGAGUUUAUGCAUGUUAUGUGGAUCUUGAGAAUGCUUAAGAAGUAGCACCUCUCUUGCCUACCUUUCUUUUAUUCUGGCUCUGAACAAAAUGAGAAAUUGGGAAACAAAAUGAAACAAAAUCCAGCAAGACAGAUGAAGGCUGUUAUGAUUGCCAUUGAGAAAGACGGAGUUGAGAAACCUAGUUUAGUGUAAUAGCCAAAUGGGCUUGCUACCUAACCCCUCCAGAAUACAGGCAAACCUCACCUCAUCAUGGUUGUGCUGCCUAGGGGGAGCAGCCCUCACUGCAGGGACAGUACCUCUAGCGCUGAGCUUAAGUUAUAGCUGAAAAAAAGCAAGAGACAGAUUCUGUGUUGGCUGGGAAAUGCAGAGAGAAGAGGGGAAGUAGCUGGGUUAAGCAUACCUCAGUCUUUUUUUCCAAAUUUGCCAAUCAGAUGACUACCUCUGUCUCAAUGAGCAGGAUAGCAAAGGGAGUAAAGGGACUGAAAGAAGAUGGGGGAAAUUUUUAGGAUACUCCUCUCAACAAACCUUGGGAAUACAUACACUGGUACAUCUAUACGUGAACAUGCUCUGUAGACUGUAAGAAUCAAAACCAAGAACCUACAUGGGGACAUCCAGAUAACAUGCUCUGUUGGGGAGCUGAUCUAGGAUGAUGAAACAAAGGUCAGAGAAGCCCUGAGGGAGAGAAUAUUAAGUGCCAAGUCACUCUCAUAGAUUUUGUUUCCUUCUUGAACCUACACCAGCCUGCUGGAUAGCUUAAUAGCCAUUGGUUUUUUUGGUGUUUCUCUGGUGGGGGCGGGGGGGUGGGGUAAGUAUAAGGUAAAAAAAAAAUAAAGCACAAUAUUUAGACUAGAAUUACA
rnacentral:lncRNA from 12 species